rnacentral:rRNA from 1 species
AUUGAACGCUGGCGGCAUGCCUUACACAUGCAAGUCGAACGGUAACAGGUUAAGCUGACGAGUGGCGAACGGGUGAGUGAUAUAUCGGAACGUGCCCAGUCGUGGGGGAUAACGUAGCGAAAGCUACGCUAAUACCGCAUACGAUCUACGGAUGAAAGCGGGGGAUCGCAAACCCUCGCGCGAUUGUAGCGGCCGAUAUCAGAUUAGGUUGUUGGUGAGGUAAAAGCUCACCAAGCCUGCGAUCUGUAACUGGUCUGAGAGGACGACCAGCCACACUGGAACUGAGACACGGUCCAGACUCCUACGGGAGGCAGCAGUGGGGAAUUUUGGACAAUGGACGCAAGUCUGAUCCAGCAAUGCCGCGUGCAGGACGAAGGCCUUCGGGUUGUAAACUGCUUUUGUACGGAACGAAACGGUGAGCUCUAAUACAGUUUGCUAAUGACGGUACCGUAAGAAUAAGCACCGGCUAACUACGUGCCAGCAGCCGCAGUAA